GGAAAGCUAAGUGGUUUCUCCCCACUUGAAUUGAACACAUUACAACAUCUGUUUUUUUCAUCAGAGAUGAAAAUGCUCCUAAGAAUACAUCAAAAGUUUCAGAAAAGAUCCAUCAUGUAGUGUGGGGCUUCAAAGAGAAGAAAGAAAAAUAAAUGAAUGCAAGUUUUACAAAGCAUAAUAUCAUACAAUAUAAUGUAUGGAUCCAUCAAUAGAAAAGGUUAAACACACAGACACCAUAUAGCCUCGUCUCAUCGACCAAAAAUUUCUUGUGUUGAAGGUUCUGUAAUAAGCUACUCACUGAACUUCGAUUAUGGAAGAAUUGGUCCUUGGGAUCCAUUAAACCAUCACUGUCUUCACUGGCAUCUUAUCGUGUGGAUGUGGAAUUAUCAUCCCCCACAGUCCAGUAUUGUUUUACUGCUACCAGUAUUUUUUCGGGAACAAGGGGACCGUCUUCAUGAUCUAUCAAUUUGGAGUCCCAUCUUAUACCUCCUAUUAUCUUCUUUACCUUAAUUAGAACAUCUAUAUCAUCUCUCAGAAUAACAGCGCCUUCUGGCCGCAAAAUACGGUCCAUCUCUAAGAGAAUGUCUUCAAAGUUGCACUUGUCCUUGUAUAAACUGAAAAGACCAUGAGCAUGAAUGAGAUCAUAAGUCCUUGGGUAUGUAGAGAACGCUUCACACCAGUCAUGAUAAAUUCC
rnacentral:misc_RNA from 1 species